rnacentral:tRNA from 1 species
CAGCGGGGAACAGUACCUUCAAAAACUCGAAAUCAGUUUGCGGGCAACCGCACGGGGGUUCGAAUCCCUCCCGCUGCG